GGGACUACAUUUUUAUCAAAUCUUGCCUUGGAUUGAAGAUGCCUUGUAUACCUCCUCCAGGCUCUAACAGUAACUACUAUUAGAAAUAUGUUUAAAAAUUCAUUUAACUCCUGAGCAUCAAGUGGGCUCCUGGGGUUGCUUUCCUGCAACUACCAACUUGCCAUGGAUGACUGUUCUCUCUUCUGGGAGAGCAGAGGGGGAAAAUACAGUCUGAGUGGU